AUUGUCUGGUAGUUAUGGCGAGAAGGUCACACCCGUUCCCAUCCCGAACACGGUAGUUAAGCUUCUCUGCGCCAAUGGUAGUUGGGGGCUUCCCCCUGCGAGAGUAGGUCGCUGCCGGGCAAU
rnacentral:rRNA from 1 species